rfam:Gregarina niphandrodes unplaced genomic scaffold scaffold00065, whole genome shotgun sequence.
GGUUCCGUAGCUCAGUAGGCAGAGCGUGUGGCUGUUAACCACAAAGUCGCAGGUUCGAUCCCUGCCGGUACCG